GGUUGUGCAAGCAUAGCUUUUGCCAUAGUUAUUAAAGGCGUGCCUUUGAGGCGCAAGGUAAUCCAGGUGAGGGGGGUCCAUAAGGCAGGCGACCUGUUUAAGGCGCACUUAGCAAGUGCACCAAGGCGCUAGGGCAGCCAAGAGAGGCCAACCCAUUCAUGGUAGACGGCAGUGAAAGAAAGAAGAAUAAGAAAAGAAGAAGAAGAUGAAGAAGAACCAAGAAGCCAUCGUAGAUGGCCAUAAGGGAAAAAAAGAAGAAAAAGAAAAGAAGAAAAACCUCUGCUACUACAUGUGAUAAUAAAGAAUAAAAAAUACUGUGUAAUGUGGUGUGUUGUGGCUGUGUAAUAACUAAUAAUCCUAAUAUCAUUCAAAUGGGCUAUAGGUUAUUGGGCCUAGACUUAGUUUAGACAGACUAAUAACCCUAAUAUUAUUUCAAAUUUGCAUAGACUUAGUUUCUU
rnacentral:misc_RNA from 1 species